rnacentral:rRNA from 1 species
UACAGAGGGGGCAAGCGUUGUUCGGAAUUACUGGGCGUAAAGGGCGCGUAGGCGGCCUGUUAAGUCGAACGUGAAAUCCCCGGGCUCAACCCGGGAACUGCGUCCGAUACUGGCAGGCUUGAAUCCGGGAGAGGGAUGCGGAAUUCCGGGUGUAGCGGUGAAAUGCGUAGAUAUCUGGAGGAACACCGGUGGCGGAAGGCGGCAUCCUGGACCGGCAUUGACGCUGAGACACGAAAGCCAGGGGAGCGAACGGG